AGCUUUAUAUUCAAAUAAUAGUGAUUAUAGAAUGCAAUUCUAUAGGAGUGGUAAAAUUAAUUAAGCCCACUAAGGCUU
rnacentral:tRNA from 1 species